UACGGGGGGAGCAAGCGUUGUUCGGAUUUACUGGGCGUAAAGGGCGCGUAGGCGGUCAGCACAAGUCAGUUGUGAAAUCUCCGGGCUUAACUCGGAAAGGUCAACUGAUACUGUGCGACUAGAGUGCAGAAGGGGCAACUGGAAUUCUCGGUGUAGCGGUGAAAUGCGUAGAUAUCAAGUGGAACACCAGUGGCGAAGGCGAGUCUCUGGACAUUUCCUGACGCUGAGGCACGAAAGCCAGGGGAGCAAACGGG
rnacentral:rRNA from 1 species